rnacentral:rRNA from 1 species
UACGAAGGGGGCAAGCGUUGUUCGGAAUUACUGGGCGUAAAGGGCGCGUAGGCGGCCGAUCAAGUCAGGCGUGAAAUUCCCGGGCUCAACCUGGGGGCUGCGCUUGAUACUGAUUGGCUUGAAUGCGGGAGAGGAUAGUGGAAUUCCCAGUGUAGAGGUGAAAUUCGUAGAUAUUGGGAAGAGCACCGGUGGCGAAGGCGGCUAUCUGGCCCGUAAUUGACGCUGAGGCGCGAAAGCCAGGGGAGCGAACGGG